rnacentral:rRNA from 1 species
UACGGGAGGCAGCAGGCGCGAAAAUUGCCUAAUCCUGAUUCAGGGAGGCAGUGACAAGAAAUAACAACUCUCAACAUUGUUGAGAAGUGUAAUGAGGAUAAUUUACAAACCUUACCGAAAGCAAUUGGAGGGCAAGUCUGGUGCCAGCAGCCGCGGUAAUA